ensembl:lncRNA
GGGCUGACUAGCUGAGGCUAUACUGUACUAGGGGCUGACUAGCUGAGACUAUACUGUACUAGGGGCUGACUAGCUGAGGCUAUACUGUACUAGGGGCUGACUAGCUGAGGCUAUACUGUACUAGGGGCUGACUAGCUGAGGCUAUACUGUACUAGGGGCUGACUAGCUGAGGCUAUACUGUACUAGGGGCUGUCUAGCUGAGGCUAUACUGUACUAGGGGCUGUCUAGCUGAGGCUAUACUGUACUGGGGGCUGUCUAGCUGAGGCUAUACUGUACUAGGGGCUGACUAGCUGAGGCUAUACUGUACUAGGGGCUGACUAGCUGAGGCUAUACUGUACUACCUGCUCCAGAGCACUCAGGACUUCAGAAUGGGGUGAUGGUUCACUUUCC